rnacentral:misc_RNA from 1 species
CGGCGCGUCUUCUUCUCCGGCGUAACCCUGCGCGAGCGGCGGCUGUACAGCAGUACCCACGACGGUGCUUCGCGACCCCAUCUGCUCAUCUAUCACGGCGGCGGCAGCGUGUUUUGGCCCUAGCCGGCGCGAUUCCACACACAGCGGCGCGUUUAGGCUCCUAGCGGCGUGACAGUGACUCAACCAUUUGAAUAGCAGUGCGAUUUUCCAUCUUUGGCGAUAUUUUGCUGUGGCCCACACUCUGAUCGAUCUCAGAUAUUAAUACUCACGACCCGACGACUUCAGAUCUGCAAAUUUG